GUUUUAUUCCAAGAAUAAAAAGAAAGGAUGUACAAAUUAAAGUUACAAAAACGCAAUUUUGAAUACAGUAUUAAGUACAAUACGGGAGAUAAGGACAACAACAACAAUGAUAAUGAUAAUAGUAAUAAUAUUAAUAAUAAUAAUAAUAAUAAUAGUAAUAAUAAUAAUAACAAUAAUAAUAAUAAUAAUAAUAAUAAUAAUAAUAAUAAUAAUAAUAAUAACAGUAAUAAUAAUAUAAGAGCCGCCCUGUGACUGAAAUACAAACUCUGGUAAAUGUAACGUUCUCUAAAUCCUGUGAGCGGCUCAGGUCGCCGGAGGUGAGGGAACAAACAUAUCCUUCAAGGCUCAGCAGGGAUGAACAACAAAGAGUAAUUUGUUUAUGAAUAAGCAGCUCAUUGUGGGGGAAAGUAAUGGAGUUGUAGUUACUGAUAUAAACGUGCAAGGAUACAUGUAGAUUACCAAAAAAAAAAAAAAAAAAAAAAAAAUUACUUCAGGCUUUGAAGUAGAGAUGCGUGCGUGGGGAUAUAUUUAUGGAUUUAGAAGUGCAAUGAUGCAAGUCGAAUACACGAAAUAAAUGGAAUCCGUUUAGGCUAAGGCAAAAAGGUUCAGGGCAUGAAGAAUCACCGAGGAGUUAAUAACAGUAUAUCACACGCCGAGGAGGGACACGAGAAUUAUUGGUAGUAUAUAUUGUAUGUUUAUCCUUCUCGUACAGGCUUCACAAGUAUCACGUAAACAUUAUAUCAUCAAUCUCAGCUAACAAAGUAUACAUGGUUGGGUCCAAGGCCAGACGGAUCCGCCAGUAAGCUUGGAUCUCAGGCUGCCAUGACGUCACCAUUAUAAUUCUAAAUAGGGCGGGAUUUUCAUACUCAGACACUUCGAUCCGCUCUUCACAUUAACUUUCCCUGAAGGCCAAGGAGAUAAAUUGGGUUCUAAGAGUGUUUUCUUCACGUCCAUGGUACAGAAGCUUCGUCAUGGUCAUAAAACUACCCAUGGAAAACCCCACAACUACGAAGGCUUGUCAAAUGUGUGUGCCUGGGCGCCGAUGUAUUUAAGAAUUUUCUGUAACAAGAGUACUACCAAAAAGAUUAUCAGGGCAAGUGUACCAUGACCAACGUUGCCAGAUUGUCGUACUUAGCCGAUUAUAUUUCCCGACUUCCUACCCCUAAACAGUCUUCUGGGCUCCAAUAGCGAAACUCAUUUAUAGUUAUCGUUAAAAGAGUUAGAUUCUGAUGUUUCUUGGCAAUAGUUAGGCGUCAGAAACCGGUAAAUACUAUGCUCUGAGUACUCUCUUUAUGAAUAUGUUGAUGAGUAGAUUUUUUUAUAAUUAUGCAGCAUUUAAAGUCCUAUAUAUGCUUGCCAUUAAUUUUCUGUAACUAGUAUUUUUUUUAGUAAUGCGUUCAAAGUUUUAUCAUAGUUUUGGGUCAUUCAAAGUGUAUACUAACAAUUUAAUGUAGCUAUACUGUUGUUGUUUUUCAUACCUUCAAAAUUAACAGGCCAUAUAUUUUUUUGUUGGGCAACACGUUAUGCUGCUAUUUUAUGUGUUUAUAAAAUUAACUUGCUGUAUUAUAUUUUUUUUAAACAUAUCGUGCGCUAACUUUAGGAGCAGUGAGUAGCGUUUUUUUUCUCAUUUUUGUUUCCUCUUUUUGCCCUUGAACUGUCUCCUUUGCUGUAAAAAAAAAACAUAUCGUGCUGUAAAAAAACAAAAAAAAACAUAACGUGCGCUAACUUUAGGAGCAGUGAGUAGCGGGCUUUUUUUUUUUUUCUUUCAUUAUUGUUUCCUUUUUUUUUUUUGCCCUUGAACUCUGUCUGCUGUAAAAAACAAAAAAAGUAACGCCAUGUAAGCCUUAGAUCCAAGAUGACUGAAGGCCGCCUCUGUCUGCCUUGGUUUUGGGGAACGUGAUAUAAGAGUCUUUUCUAUAUAUAUUGCAUCAGGAGUAUCAGGGUUCUGCACGGUCGGUAUGAUUCACUUUAAGGUUGUUUACGAACUGGAAUGGGGUGUACGAAGUGGCGGACAUACCCUAAUUUUGUGCUGAGGUCGUUAAUAUGGAUCACAGAUAUCAGAGGUGUGUUGUGUGUUAUGUAAAGGGUUCUGCAGGAGGGCGACAGGUAGAGGUAACAGUAUCAACCCGGAAUAUGUGAAAGUCAGGUCAGACAGAGAACCAGGAGUAGAGGUGGAAAUAGAACCUUCGUCGGGGCAGGAAUGAGUACACUAACAUCAGACAGAGAAGUGGAGAACGUUGGGAAUAUAAGUUUUCUUCUGCACUGAACUAGUAAUGGCGGAUGACGAUGACGGAAGGUGUUAGGAUGUCUUUUUACUGAAGGGAAGGGGGAAUUAAAUAUUGUUUGUGAAUUACGAUAAGGCUGUAUAGACAUAGACACUUUACGUUUAGUUCCUCUUCUUGUUUUCCCCUCUUCUAUUCUUCAACUGUAUGACUUCGACUUACAAUCCUAUUUUCCUCUUCUUCAUCUGCAGCUCUUCUUCACGCUCACGAGCGCCGAUCUUCUUCAGCUGUUAACAUAU